rnacentral:rRNA from 1 species
AGAGUUUGAUCCUGGCUCAGGACGAACGCUGGCGGCGUGCUUAACACAUGCAAGUCGAACGGAAAGGCCCUUCGGGGUACUCGAGUGGCGAACGGGUGAGUAACACGUGGGUGAUCUGCCCUGCACUUUGGGAUAAGCCUGGGAAACUGGGUCUAAUACCGAAUAUGACCAUGCACUUCCUGGUGUGUGGUGGAAAGCUUUUGCGGUGUGGGAUGGGCCCGCGGCCUAUCAGCUUGUUGGUGGGGUAAUGGCCUACCAAGGCGACGACGGGUAGCCGGCCUGAGAGGGUGACCGGCCACACUGGGACUGAGAUACGGCCCAGACUCCUACGGGAGGCAGCAGUGGGGAAUAUUGCACAAUGGGCGCAAGCCUGAUGCAGCGACGCCGCGUGAGGGAUGACGGCCUUCGGGUUGUAAACCUCUUUCAGCACAGACGAGGCGCAAGUGACGGUAUGUGCAGAAGAAGGACCGGCCAACUACGUGCCAGCAGCCGCGGUAAUACGUAGGGUCCGAGCGUUGUCCGGAAUUACUGGGCGUAAAGAGCUCGUAGGUGGUUUGUCGCGUUGUUCGUGAAAACUCACAGCUUAACUGUGGGCGUGCGGGCGAUACGGGCAGACUUGAGUACUGCAGGGGAGACUGGAAUUCCUGGUGUAGCGGUGGAAUGCGCAGAUAUCAGGAGGAACACCGGUGGCGAAGGCGGGUCUCUGGGCAGUAACUGACGCUGAGGAGCGAAAGCGUGGGGAGCAAACAGGAUUAGAUACCCUGGUAGUCC